rnacentral:rRNA from 1 species
UGCAGUCGAACGCGAAAGCGCCUUCGGGUGUGAGUAGAGUGGCGGACGGGUGAGUAACGCGUGGGAAUCUGCCCUGCAGUGGGGGACAACCCGAGGAAACUCGGGCUAAUACCGCAUACGUCUUACGAGAGAAAGGGGGCUUCGGCUCUCGCUGCAGGAUGAGCCCGCGUCCGAUUAGCUUGUUGGUAGGGUAACGGCCUACCAAGGCGACGAUCGGUAGCAGGUCUGAGAGGAUGAUCAGCCACCACUGGGACUGAGACACGGCCCAGAAUCCUACGGGAAGGCAGCAGUGGGGGAAUAUUGGACCAUGGGGGGAAAGCCUGGAUCCAGCAAUGCCGCGUGUGUGAAGAAAGCCUGCGGGGUUGUAAAGCACUUUCAGUGGGGGAAGAAAAGCUGAAGGUUAAUACCCUUGAGUGGUGACGUUACCCACAGAAGAAGCACCGGCUAACUCCGUGCCAGCAGCCGCGGUAAUACG